ACGGAGGGUGCGAGCGUUAUUCGGAAUUACUGGGCGUAAAGCGCGUGCAGGCGGGGAGGCAAGUCAGAUGUGAAAGCCCUGGGCUUAACCCGGGAAGUGCAUUGGAAACUGACUUUCUUGAGUACUGUAGAGGAAGGGGGAAUUCCCAGUGUAGAGGUGAAAUUCAUAGAUAUCGGGAAGAAUACCAGUGGCGAAGGCGCCCUUCUGGACGGUUACUGACGCUGAUACGCGAAAGCGUGGGGAGCAAACAG
rnacentral:rRNA from 1 species